UAUUUUAAUAUUCUUAUUUUUGCAUUCGAAUUUUCGAAAAGGUGAAUCGUGUGCAAUUCACGAACUGUCGCGCAACUGUGUAUGUCCUUCGACAUGAGUCAGAUCCCUGAAAAUUCGGUAAAUACUUU
rnacentral:ncRNA from 2 species